rnacentral:rRNA from 1 species
UACAGAGGGGGCAAGCGUUGUUCGGAAUUACUGGGCGUAAAGAGUGUGUAGGCGGUGCUCUAAGUUCGGUGUGAAAUCUCCCGGCUUAACUGGGAGGGUGCGCCGGAAACUGGAGUGCUCGAGCGUGGGAGAGGAAAGCGGAAUUCCUGGUGUAGCGGUGAAAUGCGUAGAUAUCAGGAGGAACACCUGCGGUGUAGACGGCUUUCUGGACCAUUGCUGACGCUGAGACACGAAAGCGUGGGUAGCAAACAGG